AAUGGGGCUAACUUAAUUAAUUUCUCUAGAAGAAAAGAGGUUUCUCUGGCUGGUAGAAGAUGAAAUCAGAGAGGACUGAAGCUUAAGAGGGAUUCAGGGAGAAAAGAUUUCUUCACUGCUAAGGUGGAGGGGGCCAAAUGGAAGCAAGCAACUGAGAGUAGCCUCUAAAAGAAAAGAAAACAGAUGAGUGAUUCCAAGUAACUAAAUUGAUAGCUGCAAAAAUCAUCUUUGGAAAUUUGCUUGAACUAAUUCUUAUUAAUGCUUAACAUAAGAAUGAGAAACAUCUAAAUCCAAAGCCAACCAACUUUGAUUUGUGCCAUCUCCACACAACUAUUGUAGCAAUCAGAAACUUACCUUGGACUCAAAACGAUAAGAACACACAAUUUGGUAAAGUCAGGGGGAAAACACUGGCACAUAUUCAUUCCUGUGCUCUACUAAGACUUCCCUUCUAACUUCAGUGGAUGAAGAUAUAUUGUCCCCAUUCUUUCUAGCCCCCAGAGAAGAAGAAAUUCUCACUUCACUAAACUACAAGGAUUGCUCAUUCUGCUUGGGUAAGAAGUUUCAGCAUAUUUGAGGUCAGAGCUGGAAUGAUGGGCAAAGAUGAACCUUUGGGAAGGAACCAACAACUAAGUGGUCUGAAAAGGUCCUUAAUUUCCAGCCAAAAGCAUCAGUCCUAGAGAGGUCACCUGAUUCCAAAAUCUCUUGUUGGAAAAUAGAGAAAAUCUAUAGCUAACAGCCUUCCCCUGGCUUUCUCACCUAUCUACUGAUAAAAGCUUCCCCAUCUCUUACACAAAGCAAAGGUAAGUGGAGGCUAAAACAGCUCCCGGAGACACAUUCUGUUCUAACUGCUUUCAUUCUACUGGUUCUAGAUAAAAGGGAAUGUUGAGGGAAAACCUACUUUUAUUGGGAAGAUGUUUCUUUGUAUCUCAGCCUCCUCAAAAGGCUUUAUUUUACUCCUCCAACACUGCCUUCCCAACAUGUCAUUUUCUAUCUCAUUUUUCUUUUCUUUUUCCUUAGUACUUAUUAGUAUCAAAAGUAGCCUUAUUUAUCUAACAUUUAACUGAACAAUCAGUCAAACAUAUCCUGAUCUUGUUUCAUGGGUGUAUCCUCUGUGCCUAAAACAAUACCUGGCACACAGUUGGCUCUCAAAUAUUUUUGAGUGAAAAAACGAACAGAUGAAUGACUAUUUCAACUCAGCUUCUAAAACUUCAAGCAAUUACAUCAUCUCCCCAAACCUUCAACCUGCUAAUUAUGAGUGGUCGGGAAGCAACGAGUUCCUGCAAUUGCUUCCCCUUCCAAUCCUCAAUUUAUUUACAUCUGGAUUUCUUUGAGAAUACACCUGAAUUGCUGCAUGGUUCCUGUUUUUCUGUCAUUUUGCAAGUUCCUAAUGGACUGUGGAUUUAUUACACU